UGUUCAACCUCUUGUGCCAUGAAAUUGACAUCUUGGUAUAAGGCAAUGCAGUGCAGGAUCCCAUGCCAAUAAGUCAGAGUUUCUCUUAGUCCUAAGAUGAUAAUGUUCUCAGAGGCCCUGCAGCAGACAAGAAAGACAAACUUCUAUCUGAGCUAAUUGGAAUUUAAAUAAAAACUUCAAAAAAAAGAAAGGAGUAUUUUCUAGGAAUGAAGAAGAACUCAUGAAAUCAAUAAUCGUAUUUUAAAUCCUCAAAAGAGAGCACCAAUCAAAUUACUACAGCCAUGCUACGUACCAACACACACUUUUGAUGAAUUCACUGCAUAGUAAUCGGGUUUUUUAUUGCAAGCAGCAAAAAUCAUCUCUGACUCUCUCAUGCAGUAAAUAAUGCAUUUUGGAAGAAUGUUAGGACUUGGAAACCACCAGGAGAUUGGAGAACUUGAUCAGAAGAUGAGCUAAAGCCAGGGGACACCAGGUUGUGGGAACCAGAGAUAGGCCCACACCCCAAGAACAUCACAGAGAACCUACAUCUCUGACGUAUCUGCCCUCACUCUCCCAUCCCUGCCUCUUUUCCUGAAACAUUCAAUGUUCCCACCACCACUGCCAGACACAGAGGCUGGGAAAACAAAUUGCAGUCUAUACUUUUCCAGGGGCCUCUUGUUCCAGAUUCAAAGUCUCAAGAAAGAUUAUGAGUCAAUAAACUGAGAUCGCUUGCUCA